GUCGAGCGGAUGAAGGGAGCUUGCUCCUGGAUUCAGCGGCGGACGGGUGAGUAAUGCCUAGGAAUCUGCCUGGUAGUGGGGGAUAACGUCCGGAAACGGGCGCUAAUACCGCAUACGUCCUGAGGGAGAAAGUGGGGGAUCUUCGGACCUCACGCUAUCAGAUGAGCCUAGGUCGGAUUAGCUAGUUGGUGGGGUAAAGGCCUACCAAGGCGACGAUCCGUAACUGGUCUGAGAGGAUGAUCAGUCACACUGGAACUGAGACACGGUCCAGACUCCUACGGGAGGCAGCAGUGGGGAAUAUUGGACAAUGGGCGAAAGCCUGAUCCAGCCAUGCCGCGUGUGUGAAGAAGGUCUUCGGAUUGUAAAGCACUUUAAGUUGGGAGGAAGGGCAGUAAGUUAAUACCUUGCUGUUUUGACGUUACCAACAGAAUAAGCACCGGCUAACUUCGUGCCAGCAGCCGCGGUAAUACGAAGGGUGCAAGCGUUAAUCGGAAUUACUGGGCGUAAAGCGCGCGUAGGUGGUUCAGCAAGUUGGAUGUGAAAUCCCCGGGCUCAACCUGGGAACUGCAUCCAAAACUACUGAGCUAGAGUACGGUAGAGGGUGGUGGAAUUUCCUGUGUAGCGGUGAAAUGCGUAGAUAUAGGAAGGAACACCAGUGGCGAAGGCGACCACCUGGACUGAUACUGACACUGAGGUGCGAAAGCGUGGGGAGCAAACAGGAUUAGAUACCCUGGUAGUCCACGCCGUAACGAUGUCGACUAGCCGUUGGGAUCCUUGAGAUCUUAGUGGCGCAGCUAACGCGAUAAGUCGACCGCCUGGGGAGUACGGCCGCAAGGUUAAAACUCAAAUGAAUUGACGGGGGCCCGCACAAGCGGUGGA
rnacentral:rRNA from 1 species